UGCGCACUGCUAUUCUCUAUCGGAGUGAAGAACUCUACGAUGACGUCCUCCAAGCAGAACACUAACAAGAGGAUACCCCCAAGCCUAAAGCUGCUUAAGAGUUGUUCUAUUCUCUUCCACACACAGAGGCUUUAGAACAGCUUGUUAUUUCUUCAAACAUUGUUAUUCCUUACAAGUUUUGCUUCUUUUUCUACCGUAGAACUCUAGAAUUAGCCAGAUUUUGUAUUUUU
rnacentral:lncRNA from 1 species